rnacentral:rRNA from 1 species
GACGAACGCUGGCGGCGUGCUUAACACAUGCAAGUCGAACGGAAAGGCCUCUUUCGGGGGGUACUCGAGUGGCGAACGGGUGAGUAACACGUGAGUAACCUGCCCUUGACUUUGGGAUAACUUCAGGAAACUGGGGCUAAUACCGGAUAGGAGCUCCUGCUGCAUGGUGGGGGUUGGAAAGUUUCGGCGGUUGGGGAUGGACUCGCGGCUUAUCAGCUUGUUGGUGGGGUAGUGGCUUACCAAGGCUUUGACUGGUAGCCGGCCUGGGAGGGUGACCGGCCACAUUGGGACUGGGAUACGGCCCAGACCCCUACGGGAGGCAGCAGUGGGGAAUAUUGCACAAUGGGUGGAAGCCUGAUGCAGCAACGCCGUGUGCGGGAUGACGGCCUUCGGGUUGUAAACCGCUUUCGCUCAUGACGAAGCUUUGUGUGACGGUAGUGGGUAAAGAAGCACCGGCUAACUACGUG